rnacentral:rRNA from 1 species
AUUUUGGACAAUGGGGGAAACCCUGAUCCAGCCAUCGCGCGUGUAUGAUGAAGGCCUUCGGGUUGUAAAGUACUUUUGGCAGAGAAGAAAAGGUAUCGCCUCAUACGGGAUACUGCUGACGGUAUCUGUAGAAUAAGAACCGGCUAACUACGUGCCACCAGCCGCGGUAGUCCUUAGUGUGCAAGCGUUAAUGGGAAUUACUGGGCGUAAAGGGUGCGUAGGCGGUGCGGAAUAAAAGAUGUGAAGGCCAAAGGCUCAGCCUUGGAACUGCAUUUUUAACUGACGAGCUAGAGUAAGUCAGAGGGGGGUAGAAUUCCACGUGUAGCAGUAAAAUGCGUAGAUAUGUAGAGGAAGACCGAUGGCGAAGGCAGACCCCUGGGAUAAUACUGACGCUCAGACACGAGAGCGUGAGGAGCAAACAGG